UACGUAGGGUGCGAGCGUUGUCCGGAAUUAUUGGGCGUAAAGAGCUCGUAGGCGGUCUGUCGCGUCGGUCGUGAAAACUUGGGGCUUAACCCUGAGCUUGCGGUCGAUACGGGCAUGACUGGAGUUCGGUAGGGGAGACUGGAAUUCCUGGUGUAGCGGUGAAAUGCGCAGAUAUCAGGAGGAACACCGGUGGCGAAGGCGGGUCUCUGGGCAACAACUGACGCUGAGGAGCGAAAGCGUGGGGAGCGAACAGG
rnacentral:rRNA from 1 species